GGCGCGCUUCACACAUGCAAGUCGAGCGAUGGCGCCGGUUUUCGGAUCGGUGUGCAGAGCGGCGGACGGGUGAGUAACACGUGAGUAACCUGCCCUGGGCGUGGGGAUAACCCUGGGAAACUGGGGCUAAUACCGGAUGGCCCUGCCUAUUCGCAUGGAUGGGUGGGGAAAGGUUCAUCUUCGUAAGGGGGUGUUCCGGCUUGGGAGGGGCUCGCGGCCCAUCAGCUUGUUGGUGCGGUGAGGGCGUACCAAGGCGAUGACGGGUAGCCGGCCUGAGAGGGUGAUCGGCCACACUGGGACUGAGACACGGCCCAGACUCCUACGGGAGGCAGCAGUGGGGAAUUUUGCGCAAUGGGCGGAAGCCUGACGCAGCGACGCCGUGUGGGGGAGGACGGCCUUCGGGUUGUAAACCUCUUUCGGCCCUGACGAAUGUGACGGUAGGGGCUAAAGAAGCGCCGGCUAACUACGUGCCAGCAGCCGCGGUAAUACGUAGGGCGCGAGCGUUGUCCGGAUUUACUGGGCGUAAAGGGCUCGUAGGCGGUUUGUCGCGUCGGUCGUGGAAAUGUCUGGCUUAACUGGGCACGUGCGGCUGAUACGGGCAGACUCGAGGGCGGUAGGGGCAAGCGGAAUUCCUGGUGUAGCGGUGAAAUGCGCAGAUAUCAGGAGGAAC
rnacentral:rRNA from 1 species